AUUUAGUCAGCCCCAGGAGAGGCAGGAGGCCUAAGCUUGCCCUACUGGGCAGAGGGAUCCUCCUCCUGGCAUCACAGAGACAUCUGAAGCAAAAUAAGCCUGAAAUGAGCCUGACACCAAUAGGAAGCUGUGUCCUUCAUGUACUAAGUGCAACUGCAAGAAGAAAGCUGCUCAUGAAAGUGUCCUUCUUGUCUCGUGAAGGGCAUGGGAGGCUGUAAUUUAACUACAAUAAUCCCCUGAGAAACUGAA